GUGCUCACUUUGGCAGCACGUAUACUAAAAUUGGCAUAAUACAGACAAGAUUAGCAUGGCCCUUGCACAAAGUGACAAGCAAAGUCGUGAAAUGUUUCCUAUUUUA
ensembl:snRNA U6 U6 spliceosomal RNA